UACGUAGGGUGCGAGGCGUUGUCCGGAAUUAUUGGGCGUAAAGAGCUUGUAGGUGGUUUGUCGCGUCUGCUGUGAAAAUCCCGAGGCUCAACCUCGGACUUGCAGUGGGUACGGGCAGACUAGAGUGUGGUAGGGGAGACUGGAAUUCCUGGUGUAGCGGUGGAAUGCGCAGAUAUCAGGAGGAACACCGAUGGCGAAGGCAGGUCUCUGGGCCAUUACUGACACUGGAGAAGCGGAAAGCAUGGGGAGCGAACAGG
rnacentral:rRNA from 1 species